rnacentral:rRNA from 1 species
GAUGAACGCUAGCUACAGGCUUAACACAUGCAAGUCGCGGGGCAGCAUGGGGGUUGCUUGCAACUCCCGAUGGCGACCGGCGCACGGGUGAGUAACGCGUAUCCAACCUGCCCUUCACCACGGGAUAACCCGGCGAAAGUCGGACUAAUACCGUAUGUUGUCCAUUGACGGCAUCCGAUUUGGACGAAAGGCUUUGCGGUGAAGGAUGGGGAUGCGUCCGAUUAGCCAGACGGCGGGGUAACGGCCCACCGUGGCUACGAUCGGUAGGGGUUCUGAGAGGAAGGUCCCCCACACUGGAACUGAGACACGGUCCAGACUCCUACGGGAGGCAGCAGUGAGGAAUAUUGGUCAAUGGGCGUAAGCCUGAACCAGCCAAGUAGCGUGCAGGAUGACGGCCCUAUGGGUUGUAAACUGCUUUUAUGCGGGGAUAAAGUGGCCCACGUGUGGGCUUUUGCAGGUACCGCAUGAAUAAGAACCGGCUAAUUCCGUG